GCCAGGCGCGGUGGCAAGUGCCUGGAGUCCCAGCUACUCAGGAGGCUGAAGGUGGGAGGAUCGCUUGAGCCCAGGAGUUCUAGCCUGUAGUGUGCUAUGCCCAUCGGGCGUCCUCACUAAGUUGGGCAUCAAUAUGGUGACCUUCCGGGAGUGGGGACCAGCAGGUUGCCUAAGGAGGGGUGAACCUGCCCAGGUCGGAAACAGAGCAGGUCAACACUCCUGUGCUGAUCAGUGGUGGGAUCGUGCCUGUGAAAAGCCACUGUACUCCAGCCUGGGCAACAAAGCCAGAUGCCAUCUCUU
ensembl:misc_RNA Metazoa_SRP Metazoan signal recognition particle RNA